UCUCAGCUCACUGCAACCUCUGCCUCCUGUGUUCAAGAGAUUCUCCUGCCUCAUCCUCUCGAGCAGCAAUAUAAAAUUACAUGCCACCACAGCCAGUGUCAGAUUGCUGAGAAUGAUGUUCUCCAGAUUCAUCCAUGUCCCUACAAACGACACGAACUCAUCAUUUCUGAUUGCUGCAUAAUAUUCCAUGGUGUGUAUGUGCCAUAUUUUCCCAAUCCAGUCUAUCGUCAAUGGCAUUUGGGUUGGUUUCAGGUCUUUGCUAUUGUAAACAGUGCUGCAAUGAACAUUCGUGUGCAUGUGUCCUUAUAGUAGAAUGAUUUAUAGUCCUUUGGAUAUAUACCCAGUAAUGGGAUUGCUGGGUCAAAUGGAAUUUCUAUUUCUAAGGCAUUGAGGAAUCGCCACACUGUCUUCCACAAUGGUUGAACUAAUUUACACUCCCACCAACAGUGUAAAAGUGUUCAUUUUUCUCCACAUCCUCUCCAGCAUCCGGUGUCUCCAGAUUUUUUAAUGAUUGCCAUUCUAACUGGCGUGAGAUGGUAUCUCAAUGUGGGUUUGAUUUGCAUCUCUCUGAUGACCAGUGAUGAUGAGCAUUUUUUCAUAUGAUUGUUGGCCUCAUAUAUGUCUUCUUUCGUAAAGUGUCUGUUCAUAUCCUUUGCCCAUUUUUGAAUGGGCUUGUUUGUUUUUUUCCUGUAAAUCUGUUUGAGUUCUUUGUAAAUUCUGGAUAUCAGCCCUUUGUCUGAUGGGUAGACUGCGAAAAUUUUUUCCCAUUCUGUUGGCUGCUGAUUCACUUUAGUGACUGUUUCUUUUGCCGUGCAGAAGCUGUGGAGUUUCAUUAGGUCCCAUUUGUCUAUUUUGGCUUUUGUUGCCAAUGCUUUUGGUGUUUUGUUCAUGAACUCCUUGCCUACUCCUAUGUCCUGGAUGGUUUUGCCUAGAUUUUCUUCUAGGGUUUUUAUGGUGCCAGGUCUUAUGUUUAAGUCUUUAAUCCAUCUAGAGUUAAUUUUAGAGUAAGGUGUCAGGAAGGGGUCCAGUUUCUGCUUUCUGCACAUGACUAGCCAGUUUUCCCAACACCAUUUGUUAAACAGGGAAUCCUUUCCCCAUUGCUUGUUUUUGUCAGGUUUAUCAAAGAUUGUAUGGUUGUAGAUAUGUUGUGUUGCCUCUGAUGCCUCUGUUUUGUUCCAAUGGUCUAUAUCUCUGUUUUGGUACCAGUACCAUGCUGUUUUUAUUACUGUAGCCUUGUAGUAUAGUUUGAAAUCCAGUAGUGUGAUGCCCCCCGCUGUGUUCUUUUUGCUUAGAAUUGACUUGGCUAUGCGGGCUCUCUUUUGGUUCCAUAUGAAGUACAUGGCGGUUUUUUCCAGUUCUGUGAAGAAAGUCAGUGGUAGCUUGAUGGGGAUAGCAUUGAUUCUGUAAAUUACUUUGGGCAGUAUAGCCAUUUUCACGAUAUUAAUUCUUCCUAACCAUGAACAUGGAAUGUUUCUCCAUCUGUUUGUGUCCUCUCUUAUUUCAUUGAGCAGUGGUUUGUAGUUUUCCUUGAAGAGGUUCCUUACGUCCUUGUGAGUUGUAUUCCUAGGUAUUUUAUUCUUUUUGUGGCAAUUGUGAAUGGCAGUUCGUUCUUGAUUUGGCUUUCUUUAAGUCUGUUAUUGGUGUAGAGGAAUACUUGUGAUUUUUGCACAUUGAUUUUAUAUCCUGAGACUUUGCUGAAGUUGCUUAUCAGUUUCAGGAGUUUUUGGGCUGAGGCGAUGGGGUCUUCUAGGUAUACUAUCAUGUCGUCUGCAAAUAGAGACAAUUUGGCUUCCUCCUUUGCUAUUUGAAUACCCUUUAUUUCUUUUUCUUGCCUGAUUGCUCUGGCUAGAACUUCUGGUACUAUAUUGAAUAGGAGUGGUGAAAGAGGGCAUCCUUGUCUAGUGCCGAAUUUCAAAGGGAAUGCUUCCAGUUUUUGCCCAUUCAGUAUGAUAUUGGCUGUUGGUUUGUCGUAAAUAGCUUUUAUUACUUUGAGAUACGUUCCAUCGAUACUGAGUUUAUUGAGGGUUUUUAGCAUAAAGUGCUGUUGAAUUUUGUCAAAUGCCUUCUCUGUGUCAAUUGAGAUAAUCAUGUGGUUUUUGUUUUUGGUUCUGUUUAUGUGGUGAAUUACGUUGAUAGACUUGCGUAUGUUGAACCAGCCUUGCAUCCCUGGGAUGAAUCCUACUCGAUGAGGAUGGAUAAGUUUUU
rnacentral:lncRNA from 1 species